rnacentral:rRNA from 11 species
AAAUUGAAGAGUUUGAUCAUGGCUCAGAUUGAACGCUGGCGGCAGGCCUAACACAUGCAAGUCGAACGGUAACAGGAAGCAGCUUGCUGCUUCGCUGACGAGUGGCGGACGG